rnacentral:rRNA from 1 species
GAUGAACGCUGGCGGCGUGCCUAAUACAUGCAAGUCGAGCGAACGGACGAGAAGCUUGCUUCUCUGAUGUUAGCGGCGGACGGGUGAGUAACACGUGGAUAACCUACCUAUAAGACUGGGAUAACUUCGGGAAACCGGAGCUAAUACCGGAUAAUAUUUUGAACCGCAUGGUUCAAAAGUGAAAGACGGUCUUGCUGUCACUUAUAGAUGGAUCCGCGCUGCAUUAGCUAGUUGGUAAGGUAACGGCUUACCAAGGCAACGAUGCAUAGCCGACCUGAGAGGGUGAUCGGCCACACUGGAACUGAGACACGGUCCAGACUCCUACGGGAGGCAGCAGUAGGGAAUCUUCCGCAAUGGGCGAAGGCCUGACGGAGCAACGCCGCGUGAGUGAUGAAGGUCUUCGGAUCGUAAAACUCUGUUAUUAGGGAAGAACAUAUGUGUAAGUAACUGUGCACGUCUUGACGGUACCUAAUCAGAAAGCCACGGCUAACUACGUG